rnacentral:sRNA from 1 species
ACACAGCCACAAUCUGCGGUGUGCGAGGGAAACCGGUGCAAGUCCGGUGCGGUCGCGCCACUGUGAAACCACCCCCCACGGGUGGUGAGUCAGGACACUCACACACCGCAGGCCCCAACGAUCGGGACGCGUCAUCCCGCAGGAGGUUC